GCCAUCGGGGUUUCCAGACGCCGCGUCGCCAAGCCGCUGCACCAGGAAGUUCCGCCGCCCCGGAUUCCUUAGCGGCCACACGAACUGAACACGGAUGUGGUGAAUACAGCAAUCGUGGUGCUUGAUCUCUCUCCUCUCUAAUCCCCUACUUCUCGGUGGCAAUGCCUACUGCCAAAGCUUGGAGGUGAUCACGAACAGAGGGAAGAGCAU
rnacentral:lncRNA from 7 species